rnacentral:rRNA from 1 species
GAUGAACGCUGGCGGCGUGCCUAAUACAUGCAAGUCGAGCGAACAGACGAGGAGCUUGCUCCUCUGACGUUAGCGGCGGACGGGUGAGUAACACGUGGAUAACCUACCUAUAAGACUGGGAUAACUUCGGGAAACCGGAGCUAAUACCGGAUAAUAUAUUGAACCGCAUGGUUCAAUAGUGAAAGACGGUUUUGCUGUCACUUAUAGAUGGAUCCGCGCCGCAUUAGCUAGUUGGUAAGGUAACGGCUUACCAAGGCAACGAUGCGUAGCCGACCUGAUAGGGUGAUCAGCCACACUGGAACUGGGACACGGUCCAGACUCCCACGGGGGGCAGCAGUAGGGAAUCUUCCGCAAUGGGCGAAAGCCUGACGGAGCAACGCCGCGGGAGUGAAGAAGGUCUUCGGAUUGUAAAACUCUGUUAUUAGGGAAGAAAAAAUGUGUAAGUAAAUAUGCACGUUUGGACGGUACCUAAUCAGAAAGCCACGGCUAACUACGU